rnacentral:lncRNA from 1 species
UCAUUUUGGGGCGGCGAGUUGAACAAAGCAAAUUUGACUUCUUGCCCAAAUUUUAAAGCAAAAUUAAACAAGAAAUGUCGAAGUCUGAACCUCGAGAAAAACUCAAAGACUGAACUAAGGUAUGUACUUUCUAUUUUACGUAAAAUGUACAUGUUUCGGCGAACGAAACUGCUUUAAAUUCUUGUCAAAGUUGAGGGCCGAAAUUCCCUUCGGUCGCCCAUUCGAUAUUCGUCUUGUCCUUGCGUAAAAACAUUGAAUUUUAGACUUGCUUUUCGCUAUAUUUACUUUAAAUUACUAGAUAAAUUGUUAGAUAGAAUACUCAGGAUGUUUUAGAGCUAAAUUUAUGUUAACUUUUGUCAUUAUAGUGAAAAGAAAUAUUCAGUUCUCAACCUCGUGGGUCAAUGUCAUGGAAGCGAAGUUGAUUCAGUAAAAUCGCUUUCUUGCUCGAAAUUUUAAAGCAAAAUUAAACAAGAAGUGUUGAAGUCUCAACCUCGAGAGAAUCUCAAAGACUAAAUUAAGGUAUGUACUUUCUAUUUUACGUAAAAUGUACAUGUUUCGGCGAACAAAACUGCUUUAAAUUCUUGUCAAAGUUGACUCGAAAGUUGAGGGCCGAAAUAUUUCCCUUCGGUCGCCCAUUCGAUAUUCGUCUUGUCCUUGCGUAAAAACAUUGAAUUUUAGACUUGCUUUUCGCUAUAUUUGCUUUAAAUUACUAGAUAAAUGGUUAGAUAGAAUACUCAGAAUAUUUUAGAGCUAAAUUUAUUUUACAUUUUGUCAUUUUAGUGAAAUGAAAUAUUCCGUUCUCAACCUCGUGGGUCAAGUCAUGGAAGCGAAGUUGAUUCAGUAAAAUCGCUUUCUUGCUCGAAAUUUUAAAGCAAAAUUAAACAAGAAGUGUUGAAGUCUCAACCUCGAGAGAAUCUCAAAGACUAAAUUAAGGUAUGUACUUUCUAUUUUACGUAAAAUGUACAUGUUUCGGCGAACAAAACUGCUUUAAAUUCUUGUCAAAGUUGACUCGAAAGUUGAGGGCCGAAAUAUUUCCCUUCGGUCGCCCAUUCGAUAUUCGUCUUGUCCUUGCGUAAAAACAUUGAAUUUUAGACUUGCUUUUCGCUAUAUUUGCUUUAAAUUACUAGAUAAAUGGUUAGAUAGAAUACUCAGAAUAUUUUAGAGCUAAAUUUAUUUUACAUUUUGUCAUUUUAGUGAAAUGAAAUAUUCCGUUCUCAACCUCGUGGGUCAAGUCAUGGAAGCAAAGUCGAUUCAGUAAAAUCGCUUUCUUGCUCGAAAUUUUAAAGCAAAAUUAAACAAGAAAUGUUGAAGUCUCUACCUCAAUUCAAACUGAGAAGGUAUGUAUAUAUUCUUCUGUUAUAUUUAUGUAAAAUG